rnacentral:tRNA from 1 species
GAGGGUAUGGCUCAGUGAUGGUAGAGCAGAUGCUUAGCUAAUGCACGAGGUCCUGGGUUCAAUCCCCAGUACCUACC